AGAUUGAACGCUGGCGGCAUGCCUUACACAUGCAAGUCGAACGGUAACGCGGGGGCAACCCUGGCGACGAGUGGCGAACGGGUGAGUAAUACAUCGGAACGUACCCAGUAGUGGGGGAUAGCUCGGCGAAAAGCCGGAUUAAUACCGCAUACGACCUACGGGUGAAAGCGGGGGAUCGAAAGACCUCGCGCUAUUGGAGCGGCCGAUGUCGGAUUAGCUAGUUGGUGAGGUAAAGGCUCACCAAGGCUACGAUCCGUAGCUGGUCUGAGAGGACGACCAGCCACACUGGGACUGAGACACGGCCCAGACUCCUACGGGAGGCAGCAGUUUGGAAUUUUGGUCAAUGGGGGAAACCCUGAACCAGCGACGCCGCGUGGACGAUGAAGGCCUUCGGGUCGUAAAGUCCUUUUGGCAGGGAAAAUUUGAUUGUACUGCAGAAUAAGAGGUUGCUAACUCUGCGCAGCAGCCGC
rnacentral:rRNA from 1 species